UAUUUAGUGACAUGCACAAAAGUGCGGGUCACUAAAUAGAUAGGAGUGAUUUUUAGUGACAUGCACAAUUAGACUCUAAAUGUUUAGUGUUAGUCUCCUGCAAUGUGUGUCACUGAAAAUAUGGAGUGUCACUAAAGAUUAAAAUCUAUUUUUUUUAUUAUUUUUAUUAAUUUGAAAAAUUAAGACUUAUAGUGACACGCCAAGCGUGAGUGGAUAAAUAUGCCCUGACACACCUAGCGCGUCACUAUAUCAAUACCGUAAUUUUUUUUCUUAAAAAAAUACAGCUGUAAUUUAAAAUAAAUAAAAAAUAAUAAUAUUAUCAAACCCCAAUUAAAAUACAAUCUGAAAAAAAAAGUAAUUUAUAUAAUUAUCACCUCUCUCUCUCUCUCUCUCUCUCUGCUCAAACAAUCAAUUCCACAACAUAAAAAAAAAAAAGAAAACCCUAACUUUCUCUUCUAAUUUAUCUCGCCUCCCUCUCUCUCUCUCUCCUGUAGCUGCCGCAGAUCUCCCAGCCAGCUCCGGUGACCUCGCCCACCUAUCCUUCUUUUCUCUUUCUUCCUCUCUGGCGGCCUAAACAUAUGGAGCGCCUCCCCUCUCUCUCUGCCCAGAUGCGCGACCUGCGCAUCGCCUCUCUCUCUGUGCCCAGAUGCGCAACCUGACCGAUUUUUAUGGUACUGAUUCAGUUGGAUUGCGCAUAAAGAAGCAGAAAUGGCUAGUUUCAGACUGCCCAGUUGGAUUGAUUUUAAAUGUCCAGUAUCGAUCCCCUUUACAACUCGAGUAUGCUUCUCCAAAGUGAUGGAGGUGAUUUAAGGUUUCUGAUAGUUCGUGGUUCUGGCUGGGAUUGAAGAGGCAAUGUUUGGAUUUAAUAAUUUUAUUUGUUUUUUCUUGUUGUAUUGUUCAUAUUUUCUAGGUUUGUAGUCAUAUUUUUUUUUUUUACUGUUAUUGUAUUUUGUUUAUGUAUUUUAUUUAAAUUAUACUUGUAUUUUUUUAAUCACUUAUUCUAUAUUACUGCUAUUAAUUAUAAUAUAAUUAUUUUAAAUCUGAA